GAUGAACGCUGGCGGCGUGCCUAAUACAUGCGAGUAGAACGCUGAAGGAAGGAGCUUGCUCUUUCCGGAUGAGUUGCGAACGGGUGAGUAACGCGUAGGUAACCUGCCUGGUAGCGGGGGAUAACUAUUGGAAACGAUAGCUAAUACCGCAUAACAGUAGAUGUUGCAUGAUAUCUACUUAAAAGGUGCAAUUGCACCACUACCAGAUGGACCUGCGUUGUAUUAGCUAGUUGGUGAGGUAACGGCUCACCAAGGCGACGAUACAUAGCCGACCUGAGAGGGUGAUCGGCCACACUGGGACUGAGACACGGCCCAGACUCCUACGGGAGGCAGCAGUAGGGAAUCUUCGGCAAUGGACGGAAGUCUGACCGAGCAACGCCGCGUGAGUGAAGAAGGUUUUCGGAUCGUAAAGCUCUGUUGUAAGAGAAGAACGAGUGUGAGAGUGGAAAGUUCACACUGUGACGGUAUCUUACCAGAAAGGGACGGCUAACUACGUG
rnacentral:rRNA from 1 species